rnacentral:lncRNA from 1 species
UGAGCUUUUACAUCUUUUUGUCUCUGACAGGUGUGUUGACACUGAAUAUGCUUAUAGAGAUCUUGCAAGGUGUAACAAUAUUAGUAUUCGUUAGGAUUUUGUAGAAAAAUAUUAUAUUCCUGCCUGACAAUUGGUAUGGAAAUAUUUAUUCCUUAUAUAGUAACAUGACUAAAAGUGGCACUUCAGGAAAUUACAAAAGCUCCACAUUACUAUGUUUUUCCAUGGCUGCUGUUUCAUUUGAGAUUGGACAUAGGAAGAACCCACAGCCGUGGUCACCUGAUGGUGCCGGAAGAGCACAAUCCUCUUUCAGCUUUUCUUGCACUGUUAAUGGUUUUCAUUUGAUUGGGAAAUACUUCUGCAAGGCAUUAUGGAAAAGUCUGCUGGGUUUUUGUCCUGCUCCCUCCCAGGCAGAAAAGCAGGCAUAGCUGGGGAAGAUGGAGUGGAUUUUGAUGGCACCAUACAGAAUCUGAGGAGGUCCAGGACUGUCCCUUCCAUGCUGAGACAUCUGCAGAGCUGGGACAUGAAGACCCCUGUGGGGUGUUGUGUAGGGAAAGAGUGGAGCAGGAUAAAGAUGACCAUGGAUGGAUGGAAAGAGUGGUCACCUAUGAGAGCAGCUUUGGUCUCCGUGCUGCAGGUACAUCAGCUCCUGGGAAAUGCUUACCUAUCAAUGCAGCUGUGCAGGAACUCCAGGCUUUCUGUGUGGUGGUGUCCCAAGGAGCAGAAGACAAGCUACCCACAGUUUGGGUGUAGGCAUGUAUGCUGUGUUUCUGACAUGGCUCAUAGGCUCCCAGAAAAUUGCUGUUUUCACUUCUGCAGUGUUUUGCCCAAAAUUUAG